rnacentral:rRNA from 1 species
GAUGAACGCUCGCGAUAGGCUUAACACAUGCAAGUCGAGGGGUAACGUGUUGGAAGCUUGCUUCCGAUGACGACGACCGGCGGAUGGGUGCGUAACGCGUAUGCAACUUGCCUCACAGUGGAGAAUAACCCGGAGAAAUCCGGACUAAUACUCCAUACACUCUUAAGUACGCCUGUACAUGAGAGGAAAGAUUUAUCGCUGUGAGAUAGGCAUGCGUCCUAUUAGGUAGUUGGUGAGGUAACGGCUCACCAAGCCGACGAUAGGUAGGGGUGCUGGGAGGCAGAUCCCCCACAUUGGGACUGCGACACGGCCCAAACUCCUACGGGAGGCAGCAGUGAGGAAUAUUGGUCAAUGGAGGAAACUCUGAACCAGCCAAGUCGCGUGAAGGAAGAAUGUCCUAAGGAUUGUAAACUUCUUUAGCGAGCGAGUAAGGACUUCCACGUGAUGGGAGUUUGAAAGUAGCUCGAGAAUAAGUAUCGGCUAACUCCGUG